AUACGGAGGAUGCGAGCGUUAUCCGGAUUUAUUGGGUUUAAAGGGUGCGUAGGCUGUGCGUUAAGUCAGGGGUGAAAUGCCGUCGCUCAACGACGGAGCUGCCCUUGAUACUGGCGUGCUGGAGUACGGAUGCCGUUGGAGGAAUGAGUGGUGUAGCGGUGAAAUGCUUAGAUAUCACUCAGAACACCGAUUGCGAAGGCAUCUGACGAAUCCGUCACUGACGCUGAGGCACGAAAGCGUGGGGAUAGAACAGGAUUAGAUACCCUGGUAUUCCACGCCGUAAACGAUGAUGACUAACCGUCGGCGAUAGACAGCCGGUGGCCAAGCGAAAGCGAUAAGUCAUCCACCUGGGGAGUACGUCGGCAACGAUGA
rnacentral:rRNA from 1 species